rnacentral:rRNA from 1 species
GAUGAACGCUGGCGGCGUGCCUAAUACAUGCAAGUCGAGCGAACGGACGAGAAGCUUGCUUUUCUGAUGUUAGCGGCGGACGGGUGAGUAACACGUGGAUAACCUACCUAUAAGACUGGGAUAACUUCGGGAAACCGGAGCUAAUACCGGAUAAUAUUUUGAACCGCAUGGUUCAAAAGUGAAAGACGGUCUUGCUGUCACUUAUAGAUGGAUCCGCGCUGCAUUAGCUAGUUGGUAAGGUAACGGCUUACCAAGGCAACGAUGCAUAGCCGACCUGAGAGGGUGAUCGGCCACACUGGAACUGAGACACGGUCCAGACUCCUGCGGGAGGCAGCAGUAGGGAAUCUUCCGCAAUGGGCGAAAGCCUGACGGAGCAACGCCGCGUGAGUGAUGAAGGUCUUCGGAUCGUAAAACUCUGUUAUUAGGGAAGAACAUAUGUGUAAGUAACUGUGCACAUCUUGAUGGUACCUAAUCAGAAAGCCACGGCUAACUACGUG